rnacentral:tRNA from 3 species
GCCUUGCUCGUCCAACGGAAGGGCACCGGGUUUACACCCCGAGGAUGGGAGUUCAAUUCUCUCGCAAGGUAC